rnacentral:pre_miRNA from 1 species
CAAAUACUCCCUCUGUCCCAAAUUACUUGUCUUAGAUUUGUCUAGAUACAUCCAUUUGUCUAGAUACGGAUGUAUCUAGACAAGUUUUAGUGUUAGAUACAUCCGUAUCUAGACAAAUCUAAGACAAGUAAUUUGAGUCGGAGGUAAUAUAUA